rnacentral:rRNA from 1 species
AGCGAACGCUGGCGGCAGGCCUAACACAUGCAAGUCGGACGGACCCUUCGGGGUUAGUGGCGGACGGGUGAGUAACACGUGGGAACGUGCCUUUAGGUUCGGAAUAGCUCCUGGAAACGGGUGGUAAUGCCGAAUGUGCCCUUCGGGGGAAAGAUUUAUCGCCCUUAGAGCGGCCCGCGUCUGAUUAGCUAGUUGGUGAGGUAAUGGCUCACCAAGGCGACGAUCAGUAGCUGGUCUGAGAGGAUGACCAGCCACAUUGGGACUGAGACACGGCCCAAACUCCUACGGGAGGCAGCAGUGGGGAAUCUUGCGCAAUGGGCGAAAGCCUGACGCAGCCAUGCCGCGUGGAUGAUGAAGGUCUUAGGAUUGUAAAAUCCUUUCACCGGUGAAGAUAAUGACUGUAGCCGGAGAAGAAGCCCCGGCUAACUUCGUGCCAGCCGCCGCCGUAACAC